AAAGAGUGUGAUGGUGCCUGGGAUACACCACCAUGGGAUCUAAGCUUCCCUGCUAUAUCACCCUGCCCAGCACAGCGCUUCAGCCUUUGCUUAACCCUGGAGAUGUGCUCAGGUCAAGCGAUGUCCUCAGGGCUCAGAGUUGGGGUCAGUUCUGUUUAACAUCUUUCUCCAUGAUCUGGAUAAGGAGAUCGAGUGCUCUCUCACUCAUCACUCAAUGCCAGCUGCCAUCUUAAUGUACCCUGUUUUCCACACGCAAACAGCAGCUCAGUGCUGGAGGUGCUAAUUCUACAGGACUCCACUUCAUCAAAUAUUCCCUCUCCUGAGGCAGUGCCAUGUGAUGGUGGGAUUCCCUCUCCCAGAUCCAUUGCAUUUCCAGUCACACUUCGAGCUGCUUACAGAGCUCGGACAGAGAAAAAGAAAAGCGAUUCUGCUUUGCUCUGGCCAGUGAGGGAAGGAGGGAGCUGUGGUGAUGGGUUUGCUCCAUCCUCUGCCUCCCUGUCCCCCAGAGGCUACACUUGAGCAGACCAUGGCCAUGGGUCACCCCGACCAGUGACAGCGCUGCCUCUCCCAGCUACACUGGUCAAGUCACCAUUUUCCAGGCAUACU